UACAGAGGUCCCAAGCGUUGUUCGGAUUCACUGGGCGUAAAGGGUGCGUAGGCGGUCGGGUAAGUCUGAUGUGAAAUCUCACAGCUUAACUGUGAAACUGCAUUGGAUACUAUCCGGCUCGAGGAAUGGAGGGGAGACUGGAAUACUUGGUGUAGCGGUGGAAUGCGCAGAUAUCAGGAAGAACACCCGUGGCGAAGGCGGCUCUCUGGAACGCAACUGACGCUGAGACGCGAAAGCGUGGGGAGCAAACAGG
rnacentral:rRNA from 1 species